GAUGAACGCUAGCUACAGGCUUAACACAUGCAAGUCGAGGGGUAACGAGAGGAAAGCUUGCUUUCCUUGUCGACGACCGGCGCACGGGUGAGUAACGCGUAUCCAACCUGCCCCCAACUAGGGAAUAACCUUGCGAAAGUAAGACUAAUACCCUAUAAUUUCCUCAGAUGUCAUCUGACGAGGAAUAAAGUUUUAUCGGUUGUGGAUGGGGGUGCGUCUGAUUAGCUUGUUGGCGGGGUAACGGCCCACCAAGGCAACGAUCAGUAAGGGUUCUGAGAGGAAGGUCCCCCACAUUGGAGCUGAGACACGGUACAAACUCCUACGGGAGGCAGCAGUGAAGAAUAUUGGUCAAUGGCGGAAGCCUGAACCAGCCAAGUUGCGUGCAGGAUGACGGCCCUAUGGGUUGUAAACUGCUUUUAUACAGGAAUAAAGUUAGCCACGUGUGGUUAUUUGUAGGUACUGUAUGAAUAAGGACCGGCUAAUUCCGUGCCAGCCGCCGCGGUAA
rnacentral:rRNA from 1 species